AUUGAACGCUGGCGGCAGGCCUAACACAUGCAAGUCGAGCGGAGCGGCAGACGGGUGCGUAAUGCCUAGGAAUCUGCCUGGUCGUGGGGGAUAACGUCCGGAAACGGACACUAAUACCGCUUACUCUCAGCUGCGUCUAGGUCCGAAUAGCUAGUUGGUGGGGUAAAGGCCUACCAAGGCGACGAUCCCUAACUGGUCUGAGAGGAUGAUCAGUCACACUGGAACUGAGACACGGUCCAGACUCCUACGGGAGGCAGCAGUGGGGAAUAUUGGACAAUGGGCGAAAGCCUGAUCCAGCCAUGCCGCGUGUGUGAAGAAGGUCUUCGGAUUGUAAAGCACUUUAAGUUGGGAGGCGUUACCAACAGAAUAAGCACCGGCUAACUUCGUGCCAGCAGCCGCGGUAAUUC
rnacentral:rRNA from 1 species